AACGAACGCUGGCGGCAGGCUUAACACAUGCAAGUCGAGCGCGUAGCAAUACGAGCGGCAGACGGGUGAGUAACGCGUGGGAAUCUACCGAGCCCUAAGGAAUAGCUCCGGGAAACUGAAAUUAAUACCUUAUACGCCCUUCGGGGGAAAGAUUUAUCGGGGUUUGAUGAGCCCGCGUUGGAUUAGCUAGUUGGUGGGGUAAAGGCCUACCAAGGCGACGAUCCAUAGCUGGUCUGAGAGGAUGAUCAGCCACAUUGGGACUGAGACACGGCCCAAACUCCUACGGGAGGCAGCAGUGGGGAAUAUUGGACAAUGGGCGCAAGCCUGAUCCAGCCAUGCCGCGUGAGUGAUGAAGGCCCUAGGGUUGUAAAGCUCUUUCACCGGUGAAGAUAAUGACGGUAACCGGAGAAGAAGCCCCGGCUAACUUCGUGCCAGCAGCCGCAGUAA
rnacentral:rRNA from 1 species